rnacentral:rRNA from 1 species
GAGGUAAAGGCUCCCAAGGCCCACGAUCAGUAGCUGGUCUGAGAGGACGACCAGCCCCUGGGAACUGAGACACGGUCCAGAUCUACGGGAGCAGCAGUGGGGAAUUUUGGACAAUGGGCGAAAGCCUGAUCCAAGCAAUGCCGCGUGAGUGAAGAAGGCCUUCGGGGUUGUAAAGCUCUUUUGUCAGGGAAGAAACGGUUGGGCUAAUACCUGAGCUAAUGACGGUACCUGAAGAAUAAGCACCGGCUAACUACGUGCCAGCAGCCGCGGUAAUACGUAGGGUGCAAGCGUUAAUCGGAAUUACUGGGCGUAAAGCGUGCGCAGGCGGUUUUGUAAGUCUGACGUGAAAUCCCCGGGCUCAACCUGGGAAUUGCGUUGGAGACUGCAAGGCUAGAAUCUGGCAGAGGGGGGGUAGAAUUCCACGUGUAGCAGUGAAAUGCGUAGAGAUGUUGGAGGAACACCGAUGGGCGAAGGCAGCCCCCUGGGUCAAGAUUGACGCUCAUGCACGAAAGCGUGGGGAGCAAACAGGAUUAGAUACCCUGGUAGUCCACGCCCUAAACGAUGUCUACUAGUUGUCGGGGUUUUAAUUAACUUGGUAACGCAGCUAACGCGUGAAGUAGACCGCCUGGGGGAGUACGGUCGCAAGAUUAAAACUCAAAGGAAUUGACGGGGACCCGCACAAGCGGUGGAUGAAGGGGAUUAAUUCGAUGCAACGCGAAAAACCUUACCUACCCUUGACAUGUACGGAAGACCGAAGAAAUUUGGUUGUGCUCGAAAGAGAACCGUAACACAGGUGCUGCAUGGCUGUCGUCAGCUCGUGUCGUGGAGAUGUUGGGGUUAAGUCCCCGCAACGAAGCGCAACCCCUUGCAUUAAGUUGCUACCAUUUAAGUUGAGCACUCCUAAUGGGACUGCCCGGUGACAAACCCGGAGGAAAGG